AUUUCUUUAUUUGAAAGAGCGCUUCCAUCUGCUGGUUCACUCCCCAGAUGGCCACAACGGCCAGGGCUGGGCCAGGCCGAAGCCAGGAGCUUCCGGGUCUCCCACUGGGUGCCGGGGCCCAAGCACUUGGGCCAUCUUCCGCUGCCUCCCAGGGCAUUAGCAAGGAGCUGGAAGUGGAGCAGCCGGGACUCCAACAGGUGCCCACACGGGAUGUCGGCGUCCCAGGUGGCGGCUUCACCGGCCCCAUUACCCCCGUGUCGCCUCGAGAAAAGCAUCAGACCUCAGUGGAGGAACCGUCCAGACCCCGGCCCAGCACCGCUCGCGCCUGCCAGGGUCACCCAAAACAAGGACGGCGUGAGACACCGUGGCAGCCCGGAGGGGCCCUGGCUGUCCUGCAGGGUCCUGGGCAGAAGGGGCGUCCGGGGACCGAAGAGCUCUGAGCAAUGCCGGGCCUCGUCGGGGUUGGCUCGUUAGUCGCCACCAGUGGCGCAGCCGACAGCAAGACGGGGUGGGGGGAGGUCUGGGGGAGGGUCUGGGGUGGGGUGGCGCCUGGCACAAGCCCCCAGCGCAGCCUGCAGGAUCCCAGGCCUUGUGGCCCCCGCCGUGGAACCCUCUGUCCACUGUGGGGUCAGUGGAUGAGCAGCUGGCCCUGCGGCCCGGCGCUGUAGGGCAGGGAGCACCCUGCGGCGGGCACCGGCCACGUGGCCCAGCCUGCAGCCCCACUCCAGCACCCCCAGCAGAGUCCCGGCCGCGGCCCUGUGGCUCUGCCUCCUGCUGCCGGGUGGGGACCCUCACGUCCCUCCUUGUCUCCUGUGGGCUGACAGGGCUCAGGGCCUGGCUUCUUUGUGGCCACAGCGUUCACCCUGUUGGUGGCCGCAGCGCCCCGAGCGCCCUGGUGAGCGGUCGGGGAGGCGGCCUCCCCCAGCCUGCCCUGCCGCUGGGGUGGGUGAGGAGACGUUCCCCGGCAACCAGCCCCUUAUGUAACGCAGGCGCCCGUGGGAGGCACGCGGGGCGAGCGUCUUACUCGGCUGUUUCUCCCCCGUGUGAGUGUGGAGCCGGCGUCACCCUGCGGCUGCCGGCUCGGUCACCCACGUGCUCGCCGCCGCUGCAGACUGAAAUACCUGCGGCAGAUUUUGAAAUGCCGUCUGCAGCCCUGAAAUCUGACGGCUUCUACAGAGGAUCCGAGAGCGCAGCCAGAACCCCAGUGCCCGCGGCGCGUGGACGGGCGCGGGGGCACCGCCCUGGUCCCCAGCUGAGCUGACGGAGGAGCGGGGGUGGGCGGAGCCGCACUCCCCACCCGGCCUGGGACCCACUGCGCCCUGCCCUGGAGGGUACUGAAGCAUCGGCGACCCUUGUGGCCGAGGCACAUCCCCCCGAGACAGGUCGGGGCACAGCCGUGGGAACCGCCCGGAGCCCUGGGGUGCGUGGCAGCAGCCGGCCGAGAGCCACACGUGCUGCCUCCUGCUCGCUGGGAAGUCAGUGCCGUGGCGCAGGGGGAAGAGCCCCAGCCCGCAGUGCCAGCAUCCCACCAGCGCGCUGGUUCGAGUCCCAGCUGCUCCACUUCCCAGCCAGCUCUCUGCUGUUGCACCGGGAAGCCGCGGAAGACGGCUCAGUCCUUGGGCCCUGCACCCACACAGGAGACCCUGAAGAAGCUCCUGGCUCCCGGCUUUGGGUCAGCGCAGCUCUGGCUGUCAUGGCCAUCUGGGGAGUGAACCUGCAGUGGAAAAUCGAUCUCUCUUUUCUCCGUGUUUCUCAGUCUUUCUGUAACUCGGUCAUUCAAGUAAAUAAAAUAUUAAAAAAACGGCGGCCGGGGGCUCA
ensembl:lncRNA